rnacentral:tRNA from 1 species
UAGAAACUUAGAUUUAAACAAACCAAGAGCCUUCAAAGCUCAAAAUAUGGGUGUAACCCCCAUAGUUUCU